rnacentral:rRNA from 1 species
GAAGAAGCGGGGCGAGAGGCGAGGGGAAGCCGGGGGGGGGAAGCGUGGUGCUGAAUUACUGGGCGGAAAGGGGUCGGAGGGGGCCAACUGAGUCGGACGUGAAAUCCCUCGGCGUAACCGGGGAACUGCUUCCGAUACUGGAUGGCUUGAGUUUGGGAGAGGGAUGCGGAAUUCCAGGUGUAGCGGUGAAAUGCGUAGAUAUCUGGAGGAACACCGGUGGCGAAGGCGGCAUCCUGGACCAACACUGACACUGAGGAGCGAAAGCCAGGGGAGCAAACGGGAUUAGAUACCCGUGUAGUC